GAAGCUAUGGAUCUUCAUGACGCGUGUACUCUAUUAAGAAAACACGUGUACUUUUUUUAAUUUGAAACAUUCCUCUUUUCUCUCACUGAACCCCUUUACCAAUUUACCUAAUCCCUUUGAUUUUUCUCUGCUUCUCCUGUAUCCUCUCUCUCUCUCACACACACGUUGGAGCUUGCAGAUGAAUAUAGCAGCAUUGUUAAGUAUUUUUCUUCAAAGGCUUUAAUGUGGCUGAUCUCAUCUACUGAAAGGAUCAAACCAUAUCCAAUACUCCUACAUACAGAACCGUCUACCUCUAUCUAUCUAUGACAAUAGAAUGUUUGGUUUAGGCCUUUUCGAUUCUUUCACUCUUCGUAUAAGUGGGUUGAGUUUCUCAAACUAAAUAUUUUUUCCUUGAGUUUUACGGUGUCCUUGUGUAUUUUGUCUUUGGGUUUCUGUGCACAUGAAUCAUGAUAGGUGAAAUAUAUUCAAAAAGCUUGAAAAUGGAGGAAGAGAAGAUUUCCGAGUUCCGCUAAAUUUUCCUCUAUUCUUUCUUGUGUAGGAGAUGGAUUCAUUCACUGACUCGCCCUGCGAUUUAUGAGGUAAUGAUUUACAGGUUGAUGAUUCAGAGCGCU